CACGUAGUUAGCCGUGGCUUUCCGAUUAGGUACCGUCAAGACGUGCACAGUUACUUACACAUUUGUUCUUCCCUAAUAACAGAGUUUUACGAUCCGAAGACCUUCAUCACUCACGCGGCGUUGCUCCGUCAGGCUUUCGCCCAUUGCGGAAGAUUCCCUACUGCUGCCUCCCGUAGGAGUCUGGACCGUGUCUCAGUUCCAGUGUGGCCGAUCACCCUCUCAGGUCGGCUACGUAUCGUUGCCUUGGUAAGCCGUUACCUUACCAACUAGCUAAUACGGCGCGGGUCCAUCUAUAAGUGAUAGCAAAAACCAUCUUUCACUUUAGAACCAUGCGGUUCUAAAUGUUAUCCGGCAUUAGCCCCGGGUUUCCGGAGUUAUUCCAGUUCUUAAUAGGUUAGGUUACCCACGUGUUACUCACCCGUCCGCCGCUAACGCAAAGGAGCAAGCUCCUUAUCUGUUCGCUCGACUUGCAUGUAUUAGGCACGCCGCCAGCGUUCAUCCUAGAGCCAGGAU
rnacentral:rRNA from 1 species